UGGGGAAUAUUGCACAAUGGGCGCAAGCCUGAUGCAGCCAUGCCGCGUGUAUGAAGAAGGCCUUCGGGUUGUAAAGUACUUUCAGCGGGGAGGAAGGGAGUAAAGUUAAUACCUUUGCUCAUUGACGUUACCCGCAGAAGAAGCACCGGCUAACUCCGUGCCAGCAGCCGCGGUAAUACGGAGGGUGCAAGCGUUAAUCGGAAUUACUGGGCGUAAAGCGCACGCAGGCGGUUUGUUAAGUCAGAUGUGAAAUCCCCGGGCUCAACCUGGGAACUGCAUCUGAUACUGGCCAGCUUGAGUCUCGUAGAGGGGGGUAGAAUUCCAGGUGUAGCGGUGAAAUGCGUAGAGAUCUGGAGGAAUACCGGUGGCGAAGGCGGCCCCCUGGACGAAGACUGACGCUCAGGUGCGAAAGCGUGGGGAGCAAACAGG
rnacentral:rRNA from 1 species